rnacentral:rRNA from 1 species
CCUACGGGAGGCUGCAGUGGGGAAUAUUGGACAAUGGGCGAAAGCCUGAUCCAGCCAUGCCGCGUGUGUGAAGAAGGCCUUCGGGUUGUAAAGCACUUUCAGUGGGGAAGAAAGCCUUGGGGCUAAUACCCUCGAGGAAGGACAUCACCCACAGAAGAAGCACCGGCUAACUCCGUGCCAGCAGCCGCGGUAAUACGGAGGGGGCGAGCGUUAAUCGGAAUUACUGGGCGUAAAGCGCGCGUAGGCGGUCUGAUAAGCCGGUUGUGAAAGCCCCGGGCUCAACCUGGGAACGGCAUCCGGAACUGUCAGGCUAGAGUGCAGGAGAGGAAGGUAGAAUUCCCGGUGUAGCGGUGAAAUGCGUAGAGAUCGGGAGGAAUACCAGUGGCGAAGGCGGCCUUCUGGACUGACACUGACGCUGAGGUGCGAAAGCGUGGGUAGCAAACAGGAUUAGAUACCCGUGUAGUC